rnacentral:lncRNA from 1 species
UCCAAUCAAGUGUUCAAAGUUAAGGUUUAAGAUGCAACAACAAGAUGAUACCACUCGAUCCGAUCAGACCCAAUUCUCCGCUAGGGGUGAAUUUCCUAAUGCAAUUUCCUUUAUAAUCAUAUCUCCAUCCUUUUUCACAUUUUUUUUUUUUUCAUUUUUUCGCAUUUCACUUCUCUUUCUUUUUUUUUUUUUUUUUUUUUUUUUGGGGCUAAGUUGUUUUUCGCUCUUAAUAGAUAAGCCGAAAAUCACGAGAUUGAACUUUUGAAGGUGAUCCAAAAUGUUCUCGUGUGGUUUCUCAUGCUCAUAAUGAAGCCAUCAGGGGAGCAGAGACCCAGAGCUAUCAAAAACUCAACAACCAACCAAACACUUCAACACAGAGAAUGAUAUUAGGAAUUUGCACUGAAAACACUCCCCCUAGCAUCUACCGGACAAAUCACGUCAAAAGUUGCUCAUCAGGGUGCUUCACC